CAAAUUAUUUUUGCUUUUCUUAAUAAUUAACAGUAUCGACACAUGGGAUACAAAGACAGUAUGCACCAAAUGAAUGAAAGAAUCCAUAAUAAUACAGAGGGAACGUUCUCGUUAUAGAUAGAAGAAGAUAGAUUCAGUGUUAUCCUUAAUCCAUUCAUUCUUCACAGUGUUGUCGUUUUCAACCAAAAUGCUUCAGAGGUAUUAUGCUUCUUCUAUCCCUCUUUUUCAACAUUCAAACCCUAAUUUCAUUCCUUCUUCAACAAUGUUAUACUCUCAAUUACACAACCAACAAGACAAAGCUAAUCUUGUUUCCUCAUUCAAUCACUUGUUACAUCAGAAUCCAACCCCACCCAUCUUCCAUUUUAAUAAGAUUGUAGGUUCCCUUGUUAAGUCCAAUCAUUACUACACUGUUGUUUCACUUCAUCGUCAUAUGGAAUUAAAUGGAAUUGCUUCAGAUUUAGUCACUUUGAGCAUCUUGAUCAAUUGCUUUUCUCAAUUGGGUUUAAACUCUCUUUCCUUUUCUGUAUUUGCCAACAUUCUCAAAAAGGGUUAUGACCCAGAUGUCAUAACUUUGACUACACUCAUCAAGGGUCUUUGUCUCAAAGGUCAGAUCCAUAAAGCAUUGAACUUUCAUGACAACGUCGUAGCACAGGGAUUUCAGUUGAACCAAGUUAGUUACGGGACCUUAAUCAAUGGGUUAUGUAAAGUAGGAGAAACAAGUGCAGCCUUGCAGUUGUUGAGACGAGUUGAUGGGAAACUGGUUCGACCUAAUGUGGUAAUGUACAAUGCAAUUAUUGACAGUAUGUGCAAAGAUAAACUUGUUGAUGAUGCUUUUGAUUUAUAUUCUGAAAUGGUCGCUAAGAGAAUUUAUCCUAAUGUUGUCACUUAUAGUACUUUAAUUAGUGGCAUUUGCAUUGUCGGUAAAUUGAAAGAAGCAAUUGAUUUGUUUAAUAAAAUGAUAUUGGAAAACAUCAACCCUAAUGUGUUUACCUUCAAUAUAUUGGUUGAUGCAUUUUGUAAGGAAGGAAAAGUGAAAGAAGCUAACAAUGUGUUUGCUAUGAUGAUGAGAAAAGGUGUUAAACCUGAUGUUAUUACUUAUAGCUCGUUAAUGGAUGGAUAUUGCUUAGUUAAAGAAAUGAACAAGGCCAACCGUACAUUCAACACCAUGGCACAAUGUGGAGUGACUCCAAAUGUUCACAGCUAUAGUAUUAUGAUUAAUGGAUUUUGUAAAGUUAAAAUGGUGGAUGAAGCCUUAAAUCUCUUCAAAGAAAUGCGUUGUAGAAACAUUAUUCCUAAUGUGGUAACUUACAGUUCCCUUAUUGAUGCAUUUUGUAAGGAAGGAAUAGUGAAAGAAGCUAAUAAUGUGUUUGCUAUGAUGAUUAGAAAAGGUGUUAAACCUAAUGUUGUUACAUAUAACUCUUUAAUGGAUGGAUAUUGCUUAGUUAAACAAGUGAACAAGGCCAAGGGUAUAUUCAAUAUCAUGGCCCAAAGUGGAGUGACUCCUGAAGUUCGGAGCUAUAAUAUUAUGAUUAAUGGAUUUUGUAAGGUUAAAAUGGUGGAUGAAGCCUUAAUUCUCUUCAAAGAAAUGCGUUGUAGAAACAUUAUUCCUAAUGUGAUAGCUUACAGUUCCCUUAUUGAUGGUUUGGGAAAAUCAGGGAGAAUCUCUCAUGCUUUGAAGCUUGUUGAUGAGAUGCAUGAUAGAGGUCAACCACCUGAUAUAGUUACCUACAAUUCUAUAUUUAAUGCUUUAUGCAAAACCCAUCAUGUUGAAAAGGCGAUUGCAUUAUUAACAAAAGUUAAGGACGAGGGCAUUCAACCAAAUAUGAACACAUAUACUAUUCUUAUUCACGGAUUGUGUAAAGUUGGAAGAGUAGAGGACGCGAGAAAUGUUUUUGAAGAUCUUUCAGUCAAAGGCUACAAUCUAAAUGUUUAUACAUAUACUGUUAUGAUCCAAGGGUUUUGCGACAAGGGCUUGUUUGAUGAAGCGUUGGCCUUGCUAUCAAAAAUGAAAGACAAUAGUUGCAUUCCAGACGCUGCAACUUAUGAAAUAAUUAUCCGUUCUCUGUUUAAUAAAGGUGAAAAUGAUAAGGCAGAGAAACUUCUACGUGAAAUUAUCGCAAAAGGUCUAUUGUAAGAUUGAAACUAGGAAGCUUGAGUCUAAGAAUCAUUUUGGUGGAGUGAUCUGGUAAAUUUUAAUACAACAACUUUGGUAGGUUUUAUAUCAGGAAUUAAUAAUGGCAUUACGGAGAAACUUUUCGCUACUAUAGAAAGUGAAUUGGGACAGUGCUGGUUUAAGUGAAACUUUGACUUUGUGAUUUCUCAAAACAUGUAUUCCAGGGCCCUUCUCCUUCAUAUACAGCCGUGUCAUUCUGAGAUGAAUGCUGAUUUUGCACCCUCAUGCAUAAAAUUCAUGUCAUGGUUGCACACAUGAACUGCGACGAGAUUGGGGACAAAGUUCAAGUACGAUGUGCCGCCAAGACUUCAGUGUGCAACAAACCUGCGGUCAGACAGAGUAAUUAGGCGGUGGAUUCACCACCACCGAGUCAUCCUUUUGUUCACCAUCUUCUCCCAAUAGUACAUUUGAACUUGAAUCCCAAUAUGAAGAAGCCCAUUUUUCUUUCCAUUGCUUCUACACGUGUCUGAUUAACUAUUAUUAACUACUAUACUCAUAUAUGUUAACUCCCUAUAACCCAAAUCUUCCACCAACAUAAACAUUAAACGAAUGAAUCCUAAAUAAUAGAGAGAGGGAACAUUUCUCGCUGUACAUAGGUUCAGUGUUAUCCUUAAUUCAUUCAUUCUACACAAUGUUGUCGUUUUCAACCAAACAGCUUCGGAGGUACUAUGCUUCUUCUCUCCCUCUUUUUCAACUUCCAAACCCUAAUUUCAUUUCUUCUUCAACAAUGUUAUGCCACCAACAAGAAAAUCAUGAUAAUCUUGUUUCUUCAUUCAAUCACUUACAAGUACUCUCAAUUACUUAGAGUGAGGAAAAAGAUCAUGAGGGAGAAGUGGAAAAUGAGAGAAAUGGUGAGCUUGAGGAAGAAGUCGAAAAUGAGAGUGAGGAAAAAAAAAGAGAAAAGUAAGAAAGAAAGACUUAUUGAUCCCGAUUCAAUGUUAAGGAAGAUAAAAAGUCAACUUUUGAAAGAGGGACCUCAAAAAAUUUCUUAUUAUGUGAAGUUACCUUAUCCACACAUAGGGAAGAACAAAAGUAGUGUCUAGUGAGCGUGAGAAGAAGGUGGUAGAAGGGAAGAGUGAAAAUGAAAAAGUAGAAAAAAGUGAGAAAGAAAAAGAAAAAGAGGGAGGAGUUGAAAAUGAGAGAAAGGUGGAAGAGAAGAAAAAAGAUGAUAUGCAAGGUUUGUUGAUAAUGACUCAAAUUUGAAGAAAAUUAAGAGUAAAAUUUU